GAUUUGUGAGGAAAAUACAUUUCAGUCCCAAUUGAUGUCCACUUACAACUGAUGUAUUUUUCUGAUGUU